rnacentral:rRNA from 1 species
ACGAACGCUGGCGGCGUGCUUAACACAUGCAAGUCGAACGGAAAGGCCCCUUUGGGGGUACUCGAGUGGCGAACGGGUGAGUAACACGUGAGUAACCUGCCCUUGACUUCGGUAUAACUUCAGGAAACUGGGGCUAAUACCGGAUAGGAAUCCUUGCUGCAUGGUGGGGGUUGGAAAGCUUCGGCGGUUUUGGAUGGACUCGCGGCUUAUCAGCUUGUUGGUGGGGUAGUGGCUUACCAAGGCUUUGACGGGUAGCCGGCCUGAGAGGGCGACCGGCCACAUUGGGACUGAGAUACGGCCCAGACUCCUACGGGAGGCAGCAGUGGGGAAUAUUGCACAAUGGGCGGAAGCCUGAUGCAGCAACGCCGCGUGCGGGAUGACGGCCUUCGGGUUGUAAACCGCUUUCAGCAGGGGCGAAGCUUGUGGUGACGGUACCUGCAGAAGAAGCACCGGCUAACUACGUG